GUCUACGCCAUGCCACCCUGACCAACCCCGAUCGCAUCUGAUCUCGGAAGCUAAGCAGGGUCGGGCCUGGUUAGUACUUGGAUGGCAGACCACCUAGGAAGACCAGGUGCUGUCGGCA
rnacentral:rRNA from 1 species